UUAUGGCAUGACACAGACAAGAACAAUUCUUCUUGUUGUAAGUUUCCACGUGCGUCCACUUAGUACGUACAAAUUACGAUGAUACGAGGAGAACUUGUAAAUGGUUAUCAAUCUGAUCAGGGAAAGGAUCAUUGGUUGCUACAAUGCGGCAGCUUUUUUAAUUUUGCAACCGCUUGACUGGAGUAUCAAAAGCUCCAAGUCUGAACGACACGCAUGGCACCAAGCAGAUCGAUGAUUUCGAUUACAAUUAGUUUAAUUUACAGUAAAAAAGAAGAUUUUGUGAUGCAAAGGUCGAUAACAUCAAAGGAAGAUCAUUGCUUUAUAACUGAAGGUGGACAAGAGAGGUGAAGCAGCAUCGAUAGAAUACAAGCUCUGAGUCCAGGACUGCUAAAAUCAUGUGCUACAGAGUAGAGUGCAAGCAAUGCAAAAAAUAUUCCUGGCGUGGAUGCGGCGAGCACCUCGCCACCCUUUAUGCAAGCAUAGAUAAGGGGAAGCACUGCCUGUGCAAGUCAUGGCCUGGUGUUGUCGUCCCUACCGAGGAGACAGCUACUGAGCAAACACCAUCUGGAGUUGUAUCAACUUCAGCUACUACCACUGCAGUCACUCAGAAUUCCUAAGAUGGAUGCUGGACAGAGAAUGCAAUAUUAGAGAGUCACGGUGUGGUGUGGAUACCUUGUUUCUUUGCACAAUAUUUGCCUAAGCUUUGUUAUCACAUAAAAGUUGCUAAUAAUGUAGUGAAGUGUGAUUAUGGUC